rnacentral:tRNA from 1 species
UGUUAAGUUACAGUACUAUUAAUAGAGGACUGAAAAUCCUUGUGUCGCUGGUUCGAUUCCGGCCCGAGCCA